rnacentral:lncRNA from 1 species
UGUAGUUCAUGUAACAAAAAUGAAUGGAUUACACCAGAGUUCCCAAGUCGGUACUGUCAGGAAUAAGCAUGUGAAUGUUAUUCCUAUUUAUAUAUGAUUUGAUUAUGAUAUAUAUGAAUGAAUAUGCAAGUAUGCUUGCAUCAAGAAAAGUUGUAAAGUCCUUUGAUAGAAAAUAGGAAAAUAUGUACAAGGAUUUAGAAUGAAU